rnacentral:rRNA from 1 species
UAGAGUUUGGAUCCUGGCUCAGAUUGAACGCUGGCGGCAGGCCUAACACAUGCAAGUCGAGCGGAAACGAAGAGGUGCUUGCACCUCUGGCGUCGAGCGGCGGACGGGUGAGUAAUGCUUGGGAAUAUGCCUUAUGGUGGGGGACAACAGUUGGAAACGACUGCUAAUACCGCAUGAUGUCUACGGACCAAAGUGGGGGACCUUCGGGCCUCACGCCAUAAGAUUAGCCCAAGUGGGAUUAGCUAGUUGGUGAGGUAAUGGCUCACCAAGGCGACGAUCCCUAGCUGGUUUGAGAGGAUGAUCAGCCACACUGGGACUGAGACACGGCCCAGACUCCUACGGGAGGCAGCAGUGGGGAAUAUUGCACAAUGGGCGCAAGCCUGAUGCAGCCAUGCCGCGUGUGUGAAGAAGGCCUUCGGGUUGUAAAGCACUUUCAGUAAGGAGGAAAGGUUAAGUGUUAAUAGCACUUAGCUGGACGACU